GAAAUAUAGAACAAUAACAGCAGCUGUACAAGUACUAAAUGGCAAUGAAGAAAUAUAAUGUCCAGGGUUGUGCAAUCCACAUAUAUUUUUCAUAUUUUUCGAGAUGUCAUUUGAGUGGCAUGGCUACAUUUGGAAGUGUGUAGUGAUAGUGCAUAUACUAGAAAAAGGAUGUUGAACAUGGACCUAGGAGGAGGAAAAGAGGAAGAUCACAGAAGAUAUUAAUGAAGAAGGAGGACAUUCAGAGGCUUGGGUUCACUGGGUAAACUACUAAAUCAUAAAUUAUCACUGACUUGGUAAGUCAGUAUGUGAUGGAUGAAGUGCUGAAUAGAUAAAUAUGGCUUUUCUUGUAAAGUGUACCAAGUGGUACAUAAAACUGAAUAUAUGGCACAAGAUUUUUAUUAUUAUGUCAAUUUUUCUUAUGGUUUCCAGGAAAUUCCCCUAAAUGGAUCAAAAACUAACUCACAUUCUCCUCUUCUUUGGUACUUCCACUAUGUCAAUUUGACAAUGAAUUGGACUGAUGCUCAAAAUUACUGCAGAGAGAAAUACACAGACCUGGCCACCAUCGACAGACUGAACAGACCUCCUUUAUCAACCACUACAGCAUGGAUCGGAUUAAGAAAUGGCCCCGAAGCCUGGAAGGGAACACUGAAAAAUUAUAGCAACUCCUGGAGAUGGUCAGCAACUGGUCAAACAAAGACAACAAACUCCUAUGUGUAUGUCACAAUUGCGCGCAUAUGGUUGGAUCCACAAGCUCACUUCAGAGCAUACUACACUGACUUGGUUACAAUUGAGAGCUCUGUUGAAAAUACAAAGAUACAGUGGUGCAUACAACUGGUUAAAAUAAGGAUUCAAACUGACACUAACUUGACAGAUCACACUAUGAACACCCAGGUCCUCCAACAGCUAAGUGCAAAACUAGCAAGUGAGGAACCAGCUGACAUCAAGCUGCAAUAGAAGAUUCAGCCCAGAAAACAGGAGACAGUCAACAUGACACAAACGACUUGUACAACAUUCCCUUGACAAAGACAACUAUGACUAAAUGAGUUAAUCAAUAUAACUUAUUUUUCAAAUGAGGAACCUGUCACAUUAUCUCUAAGGUGACCAGAGCCAAACAAAUCUGGUCACCCUAGUUUGGUAAGAAUAAUUAUGUUUGACAAAAUUUUACACAUGGUUUGUGUUAAGAAAUUCUGUUGUAAUAUAUAUUUAGUAGAUAAAGGUCAUGUAAAUGACACAUGGAUACUUUAUUAAUACAGUGAUUUACUAAGUAAAAAACUUGAUGGUAGUACCUGCAUAUGUUUUUAGCCUGUCUUUAAAACUGUGUGCCUUGUGACUGAUAAACAAAUUCUCCUAAAUUUUGUUUUCAAAGGUUUUAUUUGUUUAUAAAUAAAACCACGUGACAUCUCUUGGUUUAUCAAUAAACAGCAACAAGCCAUGUGGAA
ensembl:lncRNA